rnacentral:hammerhead_ribozyme from 1 species
AUCGCUGAGGAGUCCCACAAUAGGACGAAACGGCUGUCCAGGUU